UUGUACACACCGCCCGUCACACCAUGGGAGUGGGUUGCAAAAGAAGUAGGUAGCUUAACCUUCGGGAGGGCGCUUACCACUUUGUGAUUCAUGACUGGGGUGAAGUCGUAACAAGGUAACCGUAGGGGAACCUGCGGUUGGAUCACCUCCUUACCUUAAAGA
rnacentral:rRNA from 1 species